rnacentral:lncRNA from 13 species
CUUUAUGAGGUCCUCGGUCUUCGAGCGGAGCUUGUUUAUCACGACGCAUGAUGCGCAUAACGAGUUUUCGUUUUUCGCGUGAAGAUCAUCUUCUAGUUGCAUUGACACCGAUAUCUCAAGCGGAUCUAUUAUAUUUUGAAUAUUUUUCUAAAAGCACAAAAAUGAAUAUGAAUUUAGUAUCCUGAAAAAACUAUCAAUACCAGCUGGCAUAAAAAUUUCGUCGUCACUUUUCUGCGCUCGAUACGUGGCCCUGCCGUGUAAUGGAUCGAUCUUCAGGACUACGGUAACUCCUAGAACGAUAAAGAAUGAACUGAUGCAGACAGGUCAGUAUGUCGCGUAAUUAAAAAAAAAAAAAAAAAAUUCAUAGUGAUUUAAAAAUCAA